UCUAGCCAACUUCAUAAAAUCAUAAAAAUAAGUGAGGUAUAAAUUGCGGAAAUGAAAGUUAUCCUAUAGCGAUAAGAUGGCCUAUCUAUGAAAUUAGAGUCUCAACAGAAAAACAAAUCAGUGAGUAGGAACACCGAGCAAACCAGCAUGAUACUGUGAAGCAUAGUGUUGGACUUACCUACCGUUUCUUCCUGGCACACAGCUCCCUCAGUGCUUGGAAUCUUCCAAGCGCUAAGGGUCUGUUGGGACCAUGGGAGAAAAAGAUGACAUCAAUGUCAAAAUUCUCUGAAAUAGAAAUAUUUAGAGAGCUGGUGCAAAUGGACACUCAUGGAACCAAGUUCAAUAAAUUAUCUGAGGCAAAUCGCUAA